AUAAUGAAUGACUGAUGUUUCUGCUCUGCAUUGCUAAGGCACACCCAGGUCUUUGGACAGGUCAACUAGUGGUUCACCCAGGUCUGCGGGCCGUGACAGGUCAACUAGUCGUUCACCCAGGUCUGCAGGCCGC